GCUUUUGCUUUCCGACGGGAGAAUCCUUGUAUGAGAUUCCUCGAGCUUUCGAGAGACUUACCCACCGUGGAGACUUUCCGGCGAAUGCCGGUGACUGGCGUGAUGUCGAUUUUCCUCUUCCUUUGAUCUCGUCUCUCCUUCCGUUAAUCCUCUUGAGAUAAUCUUCCUGUUCUCCAAUCUGUUUUCCCAUCCCUAAUCAUAUCUGCCGCUGCUCAAUCCCAGAUCUUGUUAUCUUCUCAGCCGGAAUCUUGUCGGCAGGACCGGAUCCAUCUUGGUUCUCCUCGCCGAGCACACCUCAGUAGCCUCGACUUCCCUCCUCCCCCUUUUCCCCUCUGGAUCCGAUCUCUUCCUUCCCCUCCCCACACACACACACCCCGCCCCCGGUGCUGCUGUUGAGUUCCUUUGCUGGUCAGAUUGGAGAAGUUAUCAAGUUGGACAGGCUGCUGGAGGACUGGCGCAAGGCUUUAUAAGGUACUUAAGCUCACAUGAAGUUCAUUGCGUGGAACUGUCGAGGCAUGGGCAGAGGCCUCAUGAACCACAAAAUGCUCUUCCUUGGCAGACUCAUUCACUCCACAAAAGCACAGGUGGCCUUCAUUUCUGAAAUUAAAUCAUCAAAGGUUAAGUCCUCCGAUCUUAAUUCACGUUUUCAUAUGAAUAAUAGCAUUGUUAUUCCAUCUCGAGGUAAAUCUGGGGGAUUGUGGCUUAUGUGGAAUGAUAAUGUUCAAAUUACAGUUCAUCUAGCAAAUUUUUAUACUAUCUUGGCCACUGUGGUGAAUUCUGCUACUGGAUUGCAAUUCGGACUUGUGUGUAUAUAUGGCGACCCCUAUCAUCGCCAGACUUAUCAGAUAUGGGAUCAAAUUGCUGAUUUUGUUUAUGAUAGCCCCGGAAAGAUGAUAUGCAUGGGUGAUCUUAAUGAGAUACUGUAUGACAUGGAGAAGAGUUCGGCCUAUGUUAAUUCUAAUCGGAUGUAUGCCUUUCGUUCUAUGCUGAAAAAUUGUGGUUUCUUUGACCUGGGUUAUAGUGGACCAGCCUACACUUGGACUAACAAGCGUUUUUCCUCUAAGCCCAUAUAUGAGAGACUGGACAGAUGCUUAGUGAAUCCAGACUGGUGUGAGCUUUUUCCUAAUACUAAUGUAUUCAACUUGCCCAUUAUUUUUAUCCAUCAUGCUCCCAUUUUAAUCUCCACUGAUGGACAGUACAAAAAACCAAGGCAGGACUUUAAAUUUGAGAAUUGGUGGCUUAUGGAAUCUGACUUUCAAUCUCAUGCGAAAUCUGUUUGGAGAAAUUCUGUCAAUAAGCCUUUUUGUGCUAGAACUAAACAUCUUGCAGGAGCUCUUAAAAAGUGGUGCAGGAAAAAGAAGCCUCUCCAACAAGAAUUAAACUCCUUGGAGCAAAAGAUCCAGCAGAUUCAGAUGAUUCCAUCACAGUUCCCAUUUCAGAACCAAGAUCAAGACUUCACUUAUACUAUUCCAGAUAAGCAGGAAAUUUGGCAAACAUUACAGGAAAUGAAAAGAAGAGCUUCACCUGGCCCAGAUGGAUUCAAUGUGGAAUUUUAUAUUGCAAGCUAGAGCUGGAUUGGUGAUGAUGUUACUUCCAUGGUGAGAAAUUUCUAUGUCUCGGGUGUGCUUCCAUCUCAUAUCAAUGACACUCACAUAGCUCUUAUUCCUAAAAAAACUAGCACCUCUUGUUCCCACUGAUUACAGGCCUAUUAGCCUUUGCAAUGUUAUUUAUAAAAUUAUUGCUAAAACUCUUGCUAAUCAGCUAAAGGCUCAUUUACCUGAUUAUAUCCAUCCUACACAACAAGCUUUUAUUGAAGGCAGGAGAAUAUCUAACAACAUUAUCAUAGCUCAAGAGAUUACUCACUCCUUCUGCCUUAAUUCUUGGAAACAGGAAGCUUUCAUGAUAAAAAUUGACCUUGCAAAAGCUUUUGAUCGUAUAGAAUGGAUGUCGAUGUCAAAACCGGCGGAUCUCGGGUAGGUGGUCCCGAACUGUGCGUCUAGGCGGAUGGUAACAGGAGACAAGGGACACGAUGUUUUUACCCAGGUUCAGGCCCUCUCGAUAGAGAAAACCAGGCGAGCCAAAGCAGAUCUUCCAGGCAGCAAAAGCAAUUAUAUCAAGUCAAGCAUUGGUGAAGUAUACAGAGCAGGAACAACAUAUCAUCACUAUGACGAACUGCAGCAGCUCCAACUCAAUCAUUAAACAAGGAGAAACCAUCAAAUCAGAUUUAUUUAUUACAGAUACCAAGGUUUUCUGUGAUGCCUCCUGGGAGAAUACAAAAGUUCCAGGGAAUACAGGUGCACUGGCUACAGGAAUAGGAAUAUAUAUACAAGGCGUUGAGCAAAGUGACAGCUACACCAUAAUGAUUCAAGCCUCUACAACUACAACAUCUUCUCCCUUGCAGGCUGAAGCAUGGGCUCUCUUGUUUGCAGCAAAGAUUGCUAAUCAUCUCAACAUCAUCCAGGUUUCCUUUCUCACUGAUAACCUGAUCCUGGCAAGAGCAGCAGCUCAGAGAAGCAUUGAUUCAUGUAAAGUUGGUUGGGAAAUCAGGAAGGAACUUGCAGAUUACAUUCACAUCAUGAAAGAACUCCAACCUCAAGUAUUUCAUAUCUCAAGAGAGCUAAAUGGAGUUUCUCAUAACUGUGCACAUCAGGUACUCAACAACUUGGUUGAACCUAUCUUUAGUUGUGUUAAUUCAGCUCAUAGAAAUAGGCCAUGUCCUGUAAUUCAAAAAUUGCAAUAUUCUCCUUUACAGGGCGUUGUAAUUCAUGCUGUAAAAUGUUUAUGGGCUGAUAUAUAUUUA